AGGGUUCAUCCGUACUCGAUCUUAAAAGUGACAAUUAUUUCUCUUGUGCGGUUGGGCGGAAGCGUUCAAGUGCCAGAUAUCUUCUUGGUUCAUCAGCAGAGGUUGUAUCUCUGCUGGAGAAGCUGGCAGAGAUUUCACCACCAAACUAGUUAUAAUUUCCUUGGCCUAUCCUAAUGCUGCUAAUCCAAAGAGAGGAUCUCCAUGAAAAACCUGGUGUACAGGUAAUUUUGACCUAUUCCUUUGAGACAACGUUGGAUCUUCCUCUCCAUCCAAAUUUUGCCAGAAAAGCGACUUAUGUUGUGUAGAAACUAGAAGCCAUGAGUACGAACAGGAAAAUUAAAUAAAAGGCAGAUUUUCUCAAAUUAGCUUGUCUUGUCUUGUGAUAAUUUCUUUAAAAUUCUCUCUCUCUCUCUCUCUCUCUCUCUCUCUAUAUAUAUAUAUAUAUAUAUCCCUUGUCAUUAUCUUCAAUUAAUAUAGUGUAUAUUCCGGU
rnacentral:lncRNA from 1 species